rnacentral:tRNA from 1 species
GCCUGGGUGGCUCAAUCAGUUAAGCGUCUGACUUCAGCUCAGGUCAUGAUCUCACAGCUCAUGAGUUCAAGCCCCGUGUCAGGCU